CUUUGCGUGAGGAUUGUUUUGCGUGCGAGCGCUUCGACGCCGUUAGUUUUUUAGCUAGAGAACAGCAGCAAAGAGCCAAAAGCGAAAAGCGAAUAACGAAUCCCGAAAGCAAAAACAAAAAACAAAAAAACGAAGCAACAAACUGCAGCUAACAAUUACGCGAAUUGAAACAUACGUUGCUACGCAGUACUGCAGUGUACGUGUGUGUGCAAGUUAGUUAGUUAGUGACUUGUGUGUGUGUGUGACUCUUUUUGUGUGUUUGUGUGUGUGUGCAUUAGUGUAUGCACAUAUUUGCAAUUUCCCGCAGCGAGUCGUGUGCAGAUUUUUGUGUUUUUGACAUUGCACCUGAGCGGGCAGAGCAGCAGCAACAACAACAGCAGGAGCAGCAACAACAGCUGCAGAAUAAGGAAACACAACGAACCGGCGAUCGACCUAACGGCACCUUUUUGCAUUUUGCUGCCAUCACUUGGCUGAGCGUGUGUAUGUGUGCGGCGCUGUUGCUUCACAGCCCUGUCUGCAUGUGUGUGUGAGUGUGUGUGUGGCUGCGUGUGUGUCUGCGUGUGUUUACUUGUGCAUGACGUGCAGUCACGUGUUCUAAGGUGAUUUUAACGAGUUCCGUGAUACGCGAAAUAAGAUAAGCAACAGCGAAUAAAAGUCACUAGCAACGACAAACGACGCAAAAGAAAAAUAUAAAUAAAAACAAAAAGUGCAAGAAGAAACCGAAAUAAUAAAGAGAAAAAGUUACAAGUAAAAUAACAAAAAACAACAACUACAGUUACUCACUCCGCGACGCACGCACUCAUACAUGCUCUGUCUCGUUCUAACGCAGUUGAAAGCAAAUCUGCAACAAAUUGCACUAGAUAUGUUUACCUGAGCAAAACGAAAUAUCCAAAGUAAAUAAACUUCAAAUAUUCACGGAAAAUGGUGUAAAAAUAGUGUGUUAAAUAUAUUGAAGCAAAAGCUCAUGAAUAAAAUAUUAUUUACACGUAACUAAAACAUAUUGCUAAUUGCAUUUAUUUGAACAUCGUAAAGACUUAAAAACGAAAAAAUAUCAACAUGCGGUUUCUACAUGUUUUUUACCAACUGGCUUUUCUGCUCACAAUAUUAACUGCCAUUGCUAAUGUCUUAAUGCCUUUUGUUGCGAUGUUUGGAAAUUGACAUUUAAUUACAAGUUAACCUCCCGGCCACGUCGAGCGACAUUAGUUGCUAUCAGACACGAAAACACUAUGGUGUUUGAGUAUAUACUGUAUACCACUGUGUGCAUAAGGCAAUAGCUGUACAGAUUUCUAUUACUCAUAAAUGUAUAUUAAAUUACAAUCGAAACGCAGAUAAUUCAUUGAUUUUCUGUAUGCCCAAUGGGGGCAACACUUUAAUAUUAUAUUGAAUUAGCCUUCAUUAACGACGACGAAGGUGUUGACAUUUAAG